rnacentral:rRNA from 3 species
AAAUUGAAGAGUUUGAUCAUGGCUCAGAUUGAACGCUGGCGGCAGGCCUAACACAUGCAAGUCGAACGGUAACAGGAAGCAGCUUGCUGCUUCGCUGACGAGUGGCGGACGGGUGAGUAAUGUCUGGGAAACUGCCUGAUGGAGGGGGAUAACUACUGGAAACGGUGGCUAAUACCGCAUAACGUCGCAAGACCAAAGAGGGGGACCUUCGGGCCUCUUGCCAUCAGAUGUGCCCAGAUGGGAUUAGCUUGUUGGUGAGGUAACGGCUCACCAAGGCGACGAUCCCUAGCUGGUCUGAGAGGAUGACCAGCCACACUGGAACUGAGACACGGUCCAGACUCCUACGGGAGGCAGCAGUGGGGAAUAUUGCACAAUGGGCGCAAGCCUGAUGCAGCCAUGCCGCGUGUAUGAAGAAGGCCUUCGGGUUGUAAAGUACUUUCAGCGGGGAGGAAGGUGUUGCGGUUAAUAACCGCAGCAAUUGACGUUACCCGCAGAAGAAGCACCGGCUAACUCCGUGCCAGCAGCCGCGGUAAUACGGAGGGUGCAAGCGUUAAUCGGAAUUACUG